UAUAAACAAGAAAUAUAAUUUCAAGCAGCAUAAAGCUUGUUAAAAUGGACUUAGAGAGUUCAGUUUCUGGCUUUUUGGCCUUGAGGGAUCCCCUUACUGUACCUAAAAAAUGGACAUUAGAGCAGUCUAUUCACCAAAUCAAGAAGCUGCAUCGUCGGUUGCUCGGAAUCUUUGUUUUCAUGUAAUGAACCAUUAUCAAGAAGAUAUCCCACAUGUUUCUGAAGCAUUUCCAAGGUACUAAUGCAAACAGCUAAACAUUUUAAUCUCUGCCAUCUCCUGAAUAUUUCAGAUGCAUAGUGCAGAUUGAAAAUUAUCAAUCCCAAAUUUAAUAAACUAUGUUAUUGUAAUCAAAUUACAAAUGAGGACAAAACCAUUCAAACAGAAAAUAUCCCAAAUAGGAACUAAGAUGGGCAAGUCAUGAAUUAUAUUUACCUCGCAGAUGCCCUCAAAACACUUGUUUCUAUUAAUGUAAGAAUAAUUGCUUAGUCUUGCUCGACAGAUUUUUUCCCAAAAAACUUCAACCAUUAAAUCUAUAGGAUGUAUUAAUGAGAUCUUCUCAUUCAUGCUCUGGAAUUUUUCCACAAAGGGUUCUAGAAAAAUAUAUUCCAGAAAUUAGCAUCACUCUGUAAUACAUAUCUAGUUCCAAAUACUACAUUAAUUCCUGUCAAUAUGAAGUCAAUAUAAAGCUGUGAAGCUCCAUUUUUUGAGGUGUUAAGCUUUA
rnacentral:lncRNA from 1 species